rnacentral:rRNA from 1 species
UACGUAGGGCGCAAGCGUUGUCCGGAAUUAUUGGGCGUAAAGAGCUCGUAGGCGGUUUGUCGCGUCUGCUGUGAAAACCCGAGGCUCAACCUCGGGCCUGCAGUGGGUACGGGCAGACUAGAGUGUGGUAGGGGAGACUGGAAUUCCUGGUGUAGCGGUGGAAUGCGCAGAUAUCAGGAGGAACACCAAUGGCGAAGGCAGGUCUCUGGGCCACAACUGACGCUGAGGAGCGGAAGCGUGGGGAGCGAACAGG